UAAACAGGUGUUUACCAAAAAUUAUGAAAAGGGAAAAUGAAAUUGUCAUCAGAGAUAACUUACUAUCACAGAUAAAACAUGCAAUGUCAGUUUACUGGUUAGAAUAGGCCAGAUUUCACUAUUGUGAAAAAUAGCUCAAAGAUCUCCACAGUGAAACAUCAAGAUUUUGUGGGUCAGCACAGCCUAGCUCAGUGCCUCUGGCUCAUGGUCUUUCAUGGGAUUGUCAUCAAGCUCAGUCAGAACAUCAAUCAUCUUAGAGCUCAACUUGGGGGAGAAAUAGUGAUGUAAGAGGCCCCCAACCUCUUCAUCCCUACAAAGAUCAAUAAUUAGAGAGCAGUCUAAACAAAAACAACUCUGGGAGAGCUUUAAAGUCCACCUAAGAAACUUUAACAAUACAGUGGAACAAAAAAACAAAAACAAAAACAAAAACAAAACCUGAAAUAACCAUCCAAAAAGAGAGAAGAGUUCACUUCAUUUGGCCUGCAUUAUCUCCUCCCCAAGCCAGCCCUGCUCAGCACCAAAAGGGAACCUCUGAACUACGAAGACAUCCCUUCCACCAGGCAAGGAAGACUGAGCACACUUUUGGUUGGCCAUUUAUUUUCAAGGCAAAAGUAAAGUGUGACAAUGAGCUUCACCAUGGAAAUGGAGAAUUGAGGUGAUUAUCUGCACAAUCCAGACAAAGAGACUUACUAUUGUUGGUAAUUUGAAACUAGGGAAUGAUGGGCAUGGGAAAUGGGUAAUCUGAUUAUUGCUCCUUUCCAUACAUUUGGAUAUAUGCAAAGGAAGGAGCCUGUGCUUCUGAGCCACAGCUGCCUCUGAAAAGCUCCAACUGAGGCCAACAAAGAACAGGAAGUCUCUGAAACAUCAGCUUUCUCCCUCAGAGGUGUUGUUGAGUGUAAGGAGCUCUGGCUAGAUCUCUAGGAAUAAUUUUUGUUCUUCGCUUCCUGAAUCUUUUAAGGAAUCCAUUAUUUCUGAAGAACCUGCCUACAACAGUGGUCCUCUGGACUAAUCUCCAGAAAUGAACUUCCCCUUAUUUCAUCACUGAUGAGUUCCAAAUCCUCUCCUCCACUCCUAGAAUCAAAAUGGAGUGUGGUAUGUAACCACCUGGUGGGUUAUUUGAAUUUGAAGUGCAUUUGCUACUUAUGCUACUUAUGCUACUGUUGUAUGAAGUUCACUGUCUCUUCUAAAUCAUUUUCCUACUCUACUUUUUGCUUAUUUUUACUUGUGGUGAUGACUCACUCUUCACUGCUCAGCCUCCUCCCUUUCUGCAGGUGUGCAAUCUAAGCAGACAUUUAGAGCCCUAGAAUUUUUUAAGCCAGUUGAGUAAGGGGCUAAAUUUUUCCUAAUAGGUCCUAGAGCCUAUAUUUGCCUAAUAUUUCCUAGAGCUGUCUAUGACUGAGAGGCUUACACCGCAGAAAACAAAAAGCCUGAAUGAGGACUUCUGGGAAUGAUAGGUAAACUUUAUUUCAGGAUUUUAAAAAUUUAGUAUCUCCACUGGUCUUGUGUUGGAGGAAGUAGACUUUGCCAUAAUGACCUGCUGUCUGAAUUUCCUCAUUUUUCAAUGUAGUUCAUUUUUAAGGUGCUCCCUAGUAAAAUCAAAAAAUUUCUGCAAAACUCUCAACAUUUCUACAAAAACAAAACUAAGCAAUCAAAACAACAACAAAAAAAGCUCAUCUAUUUCCUGAAUAAUAUUUCACCCAUAGUGAAUUGCACCAUGACCUAUGAACACAUUUCUGGAACCCAAAACUACCUCCAGGGAUGAGAAACAGAGUCUGGGUCAAAUGGAAAGAGAAGAUGUUGUCUGGCAAGCCUCAGAGGCUGUGACCUCUCUCAUCUCCAUUAUAUGGGCUGUCCAGGCUCAUGCAGCCUGUACACAUCUUUCAGGCAGAGGAAGGGUUGCUGGGGGAGGGUCUAAUGGUUUACCUUUGACAUUGGAAGAUUUUCAAUUUGGUGGUGAAAACAGAGGCAGAAAUAUUCAGAGCUGCCAGCUGGAACUCAGGGCAAUGUUUAAAAAAAAUAAAUAAAGUUGGGGUUGCUACAACCAUA